AUAAGAGGCAGAACUUAAAUCCAAGAGUCCUGACAUCUAGAGUUGUUUUUUUUUUCUUUUUAAUUAUAUUUCAAUACCUGUUAGAACCCAGAGAAAUAUUAUGCUAUGGAAUAUUUCCAGAAUUUCAGAGAUCAAUUCAUGAAAUACUAAACAGCAAUCUUAAGAACAGGAUUAAGCAGUGAUGGUUCUAAUGGGCUUUGUAACAGAUGAUAUCUAUCAUGGGAUUCAAAAAGAUACUGUCCUUUUUCUCAUUCAUCUAGUCCUCUUUUCUAACUGCUUUGGGUAUUGACCAUGAAGUGGAUAAAGUAGCCAGAGCUCUGUAGAGACAACUGUACUCUGACUUUUGGACAUACUUUGUUUCCUCUUAAGAGAUAUACAACAUUUUGGACAGUAAUUCAAGUGGAUUAAAUAUUUCACAAUAUCAUGAAAAGGAAAGCGACGGACAUCCAGUCACUACUACUACAGAUCAGCUGAUGGGAACUGCUAGUCUACUGGUUAAGUGACUUGGCCGUAGUAACAAGCUUGCUGCUGCUGCUGCUGCUAAGUCGCUUCAGUCCUGUCCGACUCUGUGCGACCCCAUAGACGGCAGCUCACCAGGCUCCCCUGUCCCUGGGAUUCUCCAGGCAAGAACACUGGAGUGGAUUGCCAUUUCCUUCUCCAAUGCAUCAUAGUGAAAAGUGAAAGUGAAAUUGCUCAGUUGUGUCCAAUUCUUAGCGACCCCAUGGACUGCAGCCUCCCAGGCUCCUCCAUCCAUGGGAUUUUCCAGGCAAGAGUACUGGAGUGGGGUGCCAUUGCCUUCUUAGUUAUGGUCAGUUUGGGGGAAAAAAAAUGAACACAUCUUUUUUAAUUGCUUUGUUUCUUCAUAAAUUCUCUAAAGUCCAACUAAGUUGAUGUCAUGGGAGGGACAUGUGUUAUUACACUUGAACCUUUGAUAGGUGAGAAAACAAUGGCAACGUGUGUUUUCUUAAAUUUGAAAUAAUUCGCUCAGUGGAUUGAAAGGUUCUGUCCGCUCCAAGCACGUGCCUGUGCAUCAGUGACCAGAUGCAGAGCGUCUAAAGUCCACAAAACUUGGAUGAAGAUGGUCCCACGUGGAGGGGGGCAAUGCCACCACCCUCAAUUAGCUGAUGUUGACAUUCAAGGGGAAGUCAAAGCCAAAUCUCUGUUGAAUUGCUGACAAAGAGAAUCUCACUUUGGUAAAGGAAAUUCCAAUAUCUCACUAAAUGUAUUUGUCCUUGUUCUAAACUCAUAAUGCGAGGACAUCAUGGACCUGAAGACAAACUCUUUUUCAGGGUAGAGAAAGAAAAGAAGACAAUCCUGCCUCUUCCUCUGCAUCACAAAGGCAUCCAGCCUCCAAGGUGACCAGUUUGACCUUUCUCUUAAAGCACUGUUUAAUUUUUUUUAAGCCUUUAAAAAUGCCAACAUGCAAAUUGUACAUAAAAUAUUUAAAACAUGAGUCCUCACUUUGAAAAGGUGAACUAAUGAAUUCAUCAAUCAAAACCUUGAAGUUCUGAAAACCUCUAAUUUACCCUUGUUGUAAUUUAGUGGAAGAAAAGUAGCCUUCUUCGAGAUAGCUCCACAAAACCGUAAUUAACCUUUGCUUUUGUCGGAACAGGUAGGACAAUUGGCAGAGAAAGAUGAUAAAUAAGAUACACAUACACACACAUCAGAGUGUAAUC
ensembl:lncRNA